rnacentral:rRNA from 1 species
UCCAGACUCCUACGGGAGGCAGCAGUGGGGGAUAUUGCACAAUGGGGGAAACCCUGAUGCAGCGACGCCGCGUGAGCGAUGAAGUAUUUCGGUAUGUAAAGCUCUAUCAGCAGGGAAGAAGAUGACGGUACCUGACUAAGAAGCCCCGGCUAACUACGUGCCAGCAGCCGCGGUAAUACGUAGGGGGCAAGCGUUAUCCGGAUUUACUGGGUGUAAAGGGAGCGUAGACGGUUAUGUAAGUCUGGAGUGAAAGCCCGGGGCCCAACCCCGGGACUGCUUUGGAAACUGUGUAACUAGAGUACAGGAGGGGCAGGCGGAAUUCCUGGUGUAGCGGUGAAAUGCGUAGAUAUCAGGAGGAACACCGGCGGCGAAGGCGGCCUGCUGGACCGUAACUGACGUUGAGGCUCGAAAGCGUGGGGAGCAAACAGGAUUAGAUACCCCUGUA